UACGUAGGGGGCUAGCGUUGUCCGGAAUUAUUGGGCGUAAAGAGCUCGUAGGCGGUUUGUCGCGUCUGCCGUGAAAGUCCGGGGCUCAACUCCGGAUCUGCGGUGGGUACGGGCAGACUAGAGUGCGGUAGGGGAGAUUGGAAUUCCUGGUGUAGCGGUGGAAUGCGCAGAUAUCAGGAGGAACACCAAUGGCGAAGGCAGAUCUCUGGGCCGUAACUGACGCUGAGGAGCGAAAGCAUGGGGAGCGAACAGG
rnacentral:rRNA from 1 species